CAACCCUCAAGCCUGGCUUGGUGUUGGGGCUCUGCGCCUGCAGGCCCUCAAAUUCAGUGGCGGACACGCUAGGUCUCCGAGCGCAGUAAUUCUUCUCGCUUCGGGCGUCCGGCGUGGGCUUGCCUCGCACCCCAUUUUAUCAA
rnacentral:misc_RNA from 1 species